GGGCGUGUGGCGCAGCUGGUAGCGCGUUCGCUUCGCAUGUGAAAGGUCUUCGGUUCGACUCCGGACUCGUCCA